rnacentral:rRNA from 1 species
GACGAACGCUGGCGGCGUGCUUAACACAUGCAAGUCGAACGGAAAGGCCCUGCUUUUGUGGGGUGCUCGAGUGGCGAACGGGUGAGUAACACGUGAGUAACCUGCCCUUGACUUUGGGAUAACUUCAGGAAACUGGGGCUAAUACCGGAUAGGAGCUCCUGCUGCAUGGUGGGGGUUGGAAAGUUUCGGCGGUUGGGGAUGGACUCGCGGCUUAUCAGCUUGUUGGUGGGGUAGUGGCUUACCAAGGCUUUGACGGGUAGCCGGCCUGGGAGGGUGACCGGCCACAAUGGGACUGAGGUACGGCCCAGACUCCUACGGGAGGCAGCAGUGGGGAAUAUUGCACAAUGGGCGGAAGCCUGAUGCAGCAACGCCGCGUGCGGGAUGACGGCCUUCGGGUUGUAAACCGCUUUCGCCUGUGACGAAGCGUGAGUGACGGUAAUGGGUAAAGAAGCACCGGCUAACUACGUG